UAGGGAAUAUUGCUCAAUGGGCGAAAGCCUGAAGCGGCAACGCCGCGUGUGUGAUGAAGGCCUUCGGGUCGUAAAGCACUUUUCUGGGAGAUGAGAAAGGACAGUAUCCCAGGAAUAAGUCUCGGCUAACUACGUGCCAGCAGCCGCGGUAAAACGUAGGAGGCGAGCGUUAUCCGGAUUCACUGGGCGUAAAGCGCGUGCAGGUGGCGCGGUAAGUUGGGCGUGAAAUCUCCCGGCUCAACUGGGAGAGGUCGUCCAAUACUACCGUGCUUGAGAGCAGAAGAGGAAGAUGGAAUUCCCGGUGUAGUGGUGAAAUGCGUAGAUAUCGGGAGGAACACCAGUGGCGAAGGCGAUCUUCUGGUCUGUUUCUGACACUCAGACGCGACAGCUAGGGUAGUAAACGGGAUUAGAGACCCGGUAAUCCUAGCCGUAAACGAUGUGAACUUGGCGUUGGUGGGUUAAACUCCAUCAGUGCCGCAGCAAACGCGAUAAGUU
rnacentral:rRNA from 1 species